CCCUUCAGAAUAGGUCCCUCGGGACCCGCCCCCCAAUCUCCUUACGCAACAAUCAUCUCCAUGGCAACUGCGAUAACCACAUUGGCCCCUUCCCCCACCCCCGGGUCCCUGUCUGUUCCCGAGGACCAACCAGGCAAGAGGUUGUUCUCCAGACCCCAAACCUUUGAAUCGGCCAAACCUGUGUGAGACGUCCUGACUUCAGGCAGAGCAGCCGUGACCCGCUGCUGCCCCCCGGAGCCAGCAUGGCAGAGGGGAGCAGGCAGCCUCCCACCCAGAGGGGAUUCUGGAAGGGUCUGCGGAGAGCACUUUUCCAUCAUCUGGCCUCAAUAAGGAAGCCAAAUAAAUUAUUUGGAAUCUGUCAAAUCGUGCCAGCGGAGGAGGAGGAGAAGGCCAAAGAGAAGGUGGAGGAGGAGGCAGAGGAGGAGAAAGAGAAGG